rnacentral:rRNA from 1 species
AACGCGAAGAACCUUACCUACUUUUGACAUGCGAGGGAGUCUUUUGAAAGGGAGACGUGCCGAAAGGAACCUCGAUACAGGUGCUGCAUGGCUGUCGUCAGCUCGUGUCGUGAGAUGUUGGGUUAAGUCCCAUAACGAGCGCAACCCUUAUUCCUAAUUACCAGCACGUAAAGGUGGGGACUUUAGGAAGACUGCCGGUGUUAAACCGGAGGAAGGUGGGGAUGAUGUCAAGUCAUCAUGGCCUUUAUAAGUAGGGCUACACACGUGCUACAAUGGUGAGUACAAAGGGAAGCGAAGCCGCGAGGUGGAGCGAAACCUUAAAAGCUCAUCGUAGUCCGGAUUGGAGUCUGCAACUCGACUCCAUGAAGCUGGAAUCGCUAGUAAUCGCAAAUGAGCAUGUUGCGGUGAAUACGUUCCCGGGCCUUGGAGUGC